GAUGAACGCUGGCGGCGUGCCUAAUACAUGCAAGUCGAGCGAACAGACGAGGAGCUUGCUCCUCUGACGUUAGCGGCGGACGGGUGAGUAACACGUGGAUAACCUACCUAUAAGACUGGGAUAACUUCGGGAAACCGGAGCUAAUACCGGAUAAUAUAUUGAACCGCAUGGUUCAAUAGUGAAAGACGGUUUUGCUGUCACUUAUAGAUGGAUCCGCGCCGCAUUAGCUAGUUGGUAAGGUAACGGCUUACCAAGGCAACGAUGCGUAGCCGACCUGAGAGGGUGAUCGGCCACACUAGAGCGGAGACACGGUCCAGACUCCUACGGGAGGCAGCAGUAGGGAAUCGGCCGCAAUGGGCGAAAGCCUGACGGAGCAACGCCGCGUGAGUGAUGAAGGUGUUCGGAUCGUAAAACUCUGUUAUUAGGGAAGAACAAAUGUGUAAGUAACUAUGCACGUCUUGACGGUAACUAAUCAGAAAGCCACGGCUAACUACGUG
rnacentral:rRNA from 1 species